GACGAACGCUGGCGGCGUGCUUAACACAUGCAAGUCGAACGGUAAGGCCCUUCGGGGUACACGAGUGGCGAACGGGUGAGUAACACGUGGGUGAUCUGCCCUGCACUUCGGGAUAAGCCUGGGAAACUGGGUCUAAUACCGGAUAGGACCCUGGGAUGCAUGUCCUGGGGUGGAAAGCUUUUGCGGUGUGGGAUGGGCCCGCGGCCUAUCAGCUUGUUGGUGGGGUGAUGGCCUACCAAGGCGACGACGGGUAGCCGGCCUGAGAGGGGGACCGGCCACACUGGGACUGAGAUACGGCCCAGACUCCUACGGGAGGCAGCAGUGGGGAAUAUUGCACAAUGGGCGCAAGCCUGAUGCAGCAACGCCGCGUGAGGGAUGACGGCCUUCGGGUUGUAAACCUCUUUUAGUAGGGAAGAAGCGAGAGUGACGGUACCUGCAGAAAAAGCACCGGCUAACUACGUGCCAGCCGCCGCGGUAA
rnacentral:rRNA from 1 species